ACGUAGGGAGCAAGCGUUGUCCGGAAUUACUGGGCGUAAAGGGUGCGUAGGUGGCCAUGCAAGUCAGAUGUGAAAUCCCCGGGCUUAACUCGGGUGCUGCAUUUGAAACUGCGUGGCUUGAGUGCAGGAGAGGAAAGCGGAAUUCCUAGUGUAGCGGUGAAAUGCGUAGAUAUUAGGAGGAACACCAGUGGCGAAGGCGGCUUUCUGGACUGUAACUGACACUGAGGCACGAAAGCGUGGGGAGCAAACAG
rnacentral:rRNA from 1 species